CAGGAUGAACGCUGGCGGUAUGCUUUACACAUGCAAGUCGUACGAGAGUUUUUAACUCAAGUGGCGGACGGGUGAGUAACACGUAAGAAUUUGCCUUUAGGAGGGGGACAACAACUGGAAACGGUUGCUAAUACCCCAUAUGCUUUCGAGUGAAAUGGAUUUUUCCGCCUAGAGAGAAGCUUGCGGCUGAUUAGCUUGUUGGUGAGGUAAUGGCUCACCAAGGCGACGAUCAGUAUCUGGUUUGAGAGGACGAUCAGACACACUGGAACUGAGACACGGUCCAGACUCCUACGGGAGGCAGCAGUGGGGAAUUUUCCGCAAUGGGCGAAAGCCUGACGGAGCAAUACCGCGUGAGGGAUGACGGCCUAUGGGUUGUAAACCUCUUUUUUCAGGGAGGAAUCAAAUGACGUGUACCUGAAGAAUAAGCAUCGGCUAACUCCGUGCCAGCAGCCGCGGUAAGACGGAGGAUGCAAGUGUUAUCCGGAAUCACUGGGCGUAAAGCGUCUGUAGGUGGUCCAAUAAGUCAACUGUUAAAUCUUGGGGCUCAACCUCAAAAUCGCAGUCGAAACUAUUAGACUAGAGUAUAGUAGGGGUAAAGGGAAUUUCCAGUGGAGCGGUGAAAUGCGUAGAGAUUGGAAAGAACACCGAUGGCGAAGGCACUUUACUGGGCUAUUACUAACACUCAGAGACGAAAGCUAGGGUAGCAAAUGGGAUUAGAUACCCCAGUAGUCCUAGCCGUAAACAAUGGAUACUAGAUGUUGAACAGACCGACCUGUGCAGUAUCAAAGCUAACGCGUUAAGU
rnacentral:rRNA from 1 species